ACCAGAGGGUUUUUCUUCAAAACGCAUAAAUCUUUCGCCUUUUACUAAAGACUUCCGUGGAGGGGAACACUCAAAUGCCGCACAAAUUUCUUAGACAGUUUUAAUAACUUUAAAAAU